rnacentral:rRNA from 1 species
AUUGAACGCUGGCGGCAGGCCUAACACAUGCAAGUCGAGCGAGCGGCGGACGGGUGAGUAAUGUCUGGGAAACUGCCUGAUGGAGGGGGAUAACUACUGGAAACGGUAGCUAAUACCGCAUACCAUCAGAUGUGCCCAGAUGGGAUUAGCGAGUAGGUGGGGUAACGGCUCACCUAGGUGACGAUCCCUAGCUGGUCUGAGAGGAUGACCAGCCACGCUGGAACUGAGACACGGUCCAGACGCCUACGGGGGGCAGCAGUGGGGAAGAUGCGACAAUGGGCGCAAGCCUGAUGCAGCCAUGCCGCGUGUAUGAAGAAGGACUUCGGGUUGUAAAGUACUUUCAGCGGGGAGGCGUUACCCGCAGAAGAAGCACCGGCUAACACCGUGCCAGCAGCCGCGGUAAUUC